rnacentral:misc_RNA from 1 species
GAACUCGACUUGCUUGAUCUGGGCGUCGCCGGCGUAGGGUCCGACGACGAUGUUGGAGGCGGGGAGGAGCAUGGAGGGGGUGACGUCAUCGCGGGAGACGCCGGGGGGAAUGAAGAGGGCGGUGCGGAGGAAAGGGGGAGGGGAGGCGGCGGCGGCGGAGGGUUUGAGGGGAGGAGGCGUGGUGGGGCUCUGUCGGGCGGCGGAGCAAGAGAUGUGGCGG